AAGUCGUAACAAGGUUUCCGUAGGUGAACCUGCGGAAGGAUCAUUACCGAGCGAGGGCCCUCUGGGUCCAACCUCCCACCCGUGUUUAUCGUACCUUGUUGCUUCGGCGGGCCCGCCUCACGGCCGCCGGGGGGCUUCUGCCCUCUGGCCCGCGCCCGCCGAAGACACCAUUGAACGCUGUCUGAAGAUUGCAGUCUGAGCAAUUAGCUAAAUAAGUUAAAACUUUCAACAACGGAUCUCUUGGUUCCG
rnacentral:misc_RNA from 1 species